ensembl:lncRNA
CAGCCUUGAAAUACUUCAAAAUCAGCUUCAAAAACAGCUUCAAAAUCAGCCUCAAAAUCAGCCUCAAAGUCAACCUUGAAAUACUCCAAAAUAAGUUUCAAAAUCAGCCUUGAAAUACUUCAAAAUCAGCUUCAAAAUCAGCCUUGAAAUACUUCAAAAUCAGCUUCAAAAUCAGCCUUGAAAUACUUCAAAAUCAGCUUCAAAAUCAGCCUCAAAAUCAGCCAAGGGCCUGAGGGGAGAAUGGGGAAAAAUCCAGGAAGGUGAAGAAAAAGAAGCUCGAGCUGUUUUCCUCGCAUGUUGAUGUUAUUUGAGGCAUUCAGCCAAAAUUACUCGACAGGAAUCACAUCAGGGAUGUGUCCCCAGCAAGAAAAUGUCCUGUUCAUCAGUGAGGGGCUGUGACAGGGGGUUAGGAGAGACCAGCCCUCCACAGGGUCUUGCCCCUUCACCAUCCAUCUUUUCCCAAGCAGGAUCAGAAGCUGAAUUUGAGAAUUUUCACAAGGAUGUUCCAGGUCUGGGAUUUUGACAUUUUCUGGAACUGUUUAGCCUUGAAGAAAAGCCUGGACCAGAGCUGGGAGCAAGACUGGAGGCUCCUCCACAUUUCCAGAACUUCUGCAAGAGGUCACAGGACUGGUCACCAUUCCAGAGGACACAGAAAUGGACAGAACUCGGUGCCCAUCCCCUCAGGGAUGUCCUCACUGCCCUUUUUAACCCCUUAAAUGGGGGUCACCCCUUUAUUUUCACCAGUUCUCUCCAGGGCUGGGCAGGUAGGAGGAAGCAUCUCUAUCAGUGAAACCUCCCAGGGGGUGUGGACGAGUGAGCUGGACGGAGAGGAGGAAAUAUUUGCAUUUACCUCAUCAAAGCCCGGGUAUAAAACGGGCUGGGGAGGCGUGAGGCUUCCUCAGUUCCCAGGUGCAGGUGGGCAAGGAGGAGGCACCAAAGGGGGUCAUGGCAGCUUUCCUCCUCCUGGCACCCCUCCUGCUGCUGGGGCCGGUGGCUGGCCAGGCCCAGGAAGAGAUGGAAGGGUGUCUUUGGCUCUGGAACGCGACUGAAGGGAAUUUCUCUGUGGAAACAGCACCUGAGACUUACCAGGCCAACACAACCUACCAGGUGACGAUAAAGGAUGACAGAAACCACAGCAACAGCUCAGGGCAGUACCUGCUGCAGGCCCUGUCCCCCCAGAACACCUCUGUGGGGGAGUGGACGGAGGCAGCCACGGGGAAUUGCAGCUCUGUGCACACAGCGAUAUUAAACAUCACCCAGAACACAGCUCGCUGGACAUCCCCGGACACAAACCUGUCCUCUGUGCAAAUAAGGGUCUAUCUCAGCCUCCCUCAUAACAUCACCGAGCUCAAGAUUUUCAUGCUGAACAGAGCGGCAGAAAGCACCACGUUUCCCACCACCCCCUCGACCGACUCGGUGUGCAAGGCCCAGAGCAGCGCCCUGCUGCCGGCUGCCCUGCUGCUCCUCACGGGCACCCUGCUCUCCUAGGGGCCAGCACAGGAGGGCAGCCAGCUGUGCUGCCCCUUCUCCUGCUCGGGAAGGACGGGGCUGAGCUGAUUUACUCAGGAGAACGGUUCGUUUGUGUGUGUUCGGGUGAUAAGUGCACUUCCACGGUAAAUGAUAAAGGAGCGCCGAGCUGAUCCUCCCCCCGCUCCCCUCACCCACGGCCUCAGCAAAAGGAAAUAUUUCACAGCAGGGACCCCUCUGCCCUGGGUUUUCAGACACAGAAAUGGCUGAGCAGACCCCACUGAGCACGGUCUCCUCAUCCCCUGGGAUUCUGUGAAGCACCAAGUGCCUGAAGAGAGGAGGAUUCCUCCUCCUCAUCCUCCUCUCAGGGCACCGGAGCUGCUGAGAAGCUCCAGGGCAGGUCUGGGUUUUCCUCUCCAUCCCCAGGGCUCGGGGGGCAGAGCUGAGCCUGCCAGGGGAAAUCUGCUCAAACCCCCCCUGAACAGCUCCAGUGAGCUGCCCACCCCUGCCCCAGCAGGACAGGCCGGAGAGCCUCCACACCAAGCCCUAGCAAUUCAUCCUCCGUGCUGUUAUUUGCUCCAAAAUCCCCGAAAUUUUGUUCUUUCAGCAAAGUUUCUCUUUGUUUUCCCUCUAUUUUUUUUUUUUCCUGAUUUUUCUGGGCAUUUUUUUUUUCUUUUUUUUAUUUUUUAAUUAAUCAGAAGUUGAUUUUGCUGUAGGGCAAGAUUGCAUGGGUCAAUGGAUGUCUUGAUUUUAUUGUUGUCGUUUGUAUUUUUAUAAGGGAAAAACGUUUAUUUAGAAAAUUUCCAACUUGUGGGAAGCAAUUUUUUUGUUUUUCUUAAAUCGAUCUAAAUAAAAUAAGGAAUUAAAAUUGCUUCUUGCA